GUUGCGAGUGUGGUGUAUGGUGUGAAGAGAUCCCACAGGAAUGCAGCAACAGACACUGAGGGAGGGAUUGUACCAGAGAGAAUGAACGGCUAAACUGGCUCAGUUGGCUCACCUGAUAGUGGAUAAUUGUCAUGAUAUCCAAUUGGUUUGCAUUUUAAAAUUAAACUGAAUAUAUAACUGAUUGCCAAAUUUGACAUUUAAAGCUAAAAUAAUAAUAAAAAAAAAAUGUGCAAAAGAGAAUUGUAAUUAAAGUUGAAACUACAUUCACCCCUGCUUUUCAUCAGUGAAAAAAUAAAAAACCUAAAAUAGUG